GAUGAACGCUGGCGGCGUGCCUAAUACAUGCAAGUCGAGCGAACAGACGAGGAGCUUGCUCCUCUGACGUUAUCGGCGGACGGGUGAGUAACACGUGGAUAACCUACCUAUAAGACUGGGAUAACUUCGGGAAACCGGAGCUAAUACCGGAUAAUAUAUUUAACCGCAUGGUUCAAUAGUUAAAGACGGUUUUGCUGUCACUUAUAGAUGUAUCCGCGCCGCAUUAGCUAGUUUGUAAGGUAACGGCUUACCAAGGCGACGAUUCGUAGCCGACCUGAGAGGGAGAACGGCCACACUGGAACUGAGACAAGGUCCAGACUCCUACGGGAGGCAGCAGUAGGGAAUAUUCCGCAAAGGGCGAAAGCCUGAAGGAGCAAAGCCGCGUGAGUGAUGAAGGUCUUCGGAUCGUAAAACUCUGUUAUUAGGGAAGAACAAAUGUGUAAGUAAAUAUGCACGUCUUGACGGUACCUAAUCAGAAAGCCACGGCUAACUACGUG
rnacentral:rRNA from 1 species